rnacentral:rRNA from 1 species
GAUGAACGCUAGCGGUAGGCUUAAUACAUGCAAGUCGUGGGGCAGCUGCACUGUAGCAAUCCAGUUGCUAGCCACCGGCAAACGGGUGCGGGAUACGUACGCAACUUACGCUGAACUGGGGGAUAGCCCGGGGAAACCCGGAUUAAUAACCCGUAAUAUAAUGGCGUGGAAUUCCUUUAUUAUUAUAACUCCGGCGGAUAGGGGCGGGCGUGUGGCUGUUUAGGUAGUUGGUUGAGGUAACGGCUCACGAAGCACACGAUCAGUAACUGGUGUGAGAGCUCGACCAGUCACACGGGCACUGAGACACGGGCCCGACGCGUACGGGAGGCAGCAGUAAGGAAUAUUAGGCAAUGGAAGCAACGCUGAACCAGCCAUGCCGCGUGGAAGAUGUAGGCCGUCUGGGAUGUAAACUUCUUUUAUAGGGGACGAAACCUGUGUAGUCUUACGCUGUUGACGGGACCCUAGGAAUAAGCACCGGCUAACUCCGUG